rnacentral:rRNA from 1 species
UACGUAGGUGGCAAGCGUUGUCCGGAAUUAUUGGGCGUAAAGCGCGCGCAGGCGGUUCCUUAAGUCUGAUGUGAAAGCCCACGGCUCAACCGUGGAGGGUCAUUGGAAACUGGGGGACUUGAGUGCAGAAGAGGAGAGCGGAAUUCCACGUGUAGCGGUGAAAGCGUAGAGAUGUGGAGGAACACCAGUGGCGAAGGCGGCUCUCUGGUCUGUAACUGACGCUGAGGCGCGAAAAGCGUGGGGAGCAACAGGAUUAGAUACCCGCGUAGUCC